rnacentral:rRNA from 1 species
CAUACCCNCUGAACCUGCGGAAGGAUCAUU